UGCCUCGGGUUCUCUUUUUAGACACCU
rnacentral:piRNA from 1 species